rnacentral:sRNA from 1 species
GUCUCGAUCUGGUCCGAACCGAUGAAGUGGAUGUGGGUGUCAAUGCCACCCGCGGUGAGGAUCCUGCCCUCACCCGCGAUGAUAUCGGUGGCCACGCCGAUGGUGAUGGUCACCCCGUCCAUGGUGUCAGGGUUUCCGGCCUUGCCGAUGGCGAAGAUGUGGCCGUCGCGCACCGCCACAUCGGCCUUGUAGAUGCCGGUCCAGUCGAUGAUGAGCACGUUGGUGAUCACCAGGUCGGCGAUCCCCUCCCCGCGGGUGGCCCUGCCAUCCUGCCCCAUGCCCGCACG